AGCCUAACAUAAUAUCUUUAUUGGAAAAAUUGCAAAAGGACCUCUGGAACAUAUCUCCCCUUCUCCUCAUUCCUCUCCCUUCCUUCCCUCAUCGCUACCCUCUCCUUCCUCCCUAUUUCCACCAUUUCUAUCGUCCUUCACUACCACCAGCCACCGGAACCUUUUCCCUUUCAUCUCCUUUCGCCGGCCAACCUCCAUUCUCGCCGAAAAAUCGAAAGCUUUAGGAGGAAGAGCUGUCACCCUUUUUGCGACUGCCGGAAUGACCUUCUUUCACCGUUCUUUUGCAAAUCUAAUGCCGGACUUGAGCUCCUCACCCUCCAAAACCUAUAGGCAGCCCCUCCUCGCCGUUGAACAGUCGUUUCCCAGCUCCUCCAAGCCUCACCGGAGCUGAAAUUUUUCAGCCUCAAUCUGAUGGCUUUCGGUGACUUUCAAGCGAAGACAUCUACAUUUUCGAACUUCCUACAGCUCAAUUUUCACGUAGGCUCUUCCGGAUUCAAAUCCCACCACAGUUUCAGACCCCGAUAAUAUGUCGGUUUAGCAAGUUCCACCCAGUUGGCGAAAACUCGGCAAAACUGAUAAUUGAUCAGAAGAGAAGUUAUAGCGGAUAGAGCUUCGUGUUGCUAGCUUUCACGAUCUAUGAAAGU